AAAGAGCGAGUUGGGACAGGGUGUUUACGAAAGCGGAAACGAGAAGCAGAAAGGGGAAGGGAAAAACACGGAAGGUGCGAGAAAGAGGGCAAAAGAGGGAGUGCGCCAGGAGGAAACUGCGGACAAAACGGAGUGAGAGAGAGAGAGAGAGAGAGAGAGAGAGAAGGCGAGAGAGAAAGAGAAAGAGAAAGAGAGAACGAUAGAGAGGGAGGUCGACUUUGGAUGCGAGCGGUCUACUCGAACACAGUAAUGCCGACCAGCUCCAACCGGGUGCCGCCAAAUCGAACCCCGGUUCGAAUUCCGCACGGCCGUGGCCGCGGGAAGAAGCGAGAGGAACAGGAGGAAAAGGAGGAGAAGGACGAAGAGGGUGGUAGAGGAGGAAAGGACAACGAAGACGACGGCAACAACGACAACGACGACAACGACAACGACGACGACGACGGGGAACGCGAAUAAAAAGAAAUCGUGGAAGUGGAAGAGAAAGAAGAAGAAAAAGGAAAUAGCAGUGCGCAAACAAUCAUGCUCAUUAUGACGGACAAACUGGAAGUUUCAAUAUCGUUUCACACAGCACAACAAUAUAUUCAACAGGGUAACAACAAGCGAUCGAGGAUAUGCACCUGCUUUGCUGUAUGAUCCUCUUUGAUGUCAUUCCCUGGACUUUGAGUGUCACAAGAAGAGCAGGCAAGAGAAAGAGAAAAAACGCUGAGGGAGCAACAUCGCGAAAAAAGCGCCUUUCAAAGCGGAUACUCGCUUCUUCCUUUGCGCAAGAACGAAAUGUUUCGCCUUUUCACGCAUUUACUCGAAUACGCGUGUCGAUACUUCGCAUUCUACGAUACGCGAAGCAAUUCUCUACAAGUGAAGUUGUCUGCAAGAUCUCUAACAACGGGAGCAAUUAGUUCUUUAUUGAAUGGCAAGAGUGGAGAUAAAAUUCACAAAAACAUCAACGUUCCUGAAGUCAUCUAAUAAUUACCACGUCAUUUACUCCAAUUUGACAUCGGCAAUUACUUCGACUUGACAUUAAUUCAUAUUUCAAACACCAACAAGCCUUCGAGUGACGAGUCGCAUCACGGUACACGCAUCGCGGAUAAUCGUUUCGCAACAGCUGCAGUGCACUGCACGUCGCAACCACUUAUCGUCCUCGCGAGGGCAAUUUUUGCGCGAACGCACGAGCGACGUCCCCAGCGAAUAGAGAAGAAACUAAAUACCAGAAGCUGAAACUUCAGGCUCGCAACUUUAAGUCCCUUAUGAAUAAUCACCGGUCUAGGGACGAAAGUCUCGACAUACAUAACGGGCCG